UGGGAACCCCUGGACCGCUGGGGCUGGACCCCGGCAGUUCUGUUUUUAUUAUGUAUGUAAUUUCAUGCUCAGGCUCAAGCCCAGCUCCUAUAUAGUAGUCUAUUUGGAGGUCACUUAUAUUGGAAGCUCAUGUAUUUGAUUCUAACUUGGAAAGCAUGCUGAACUCUGGCUGCCUUUAAUUUGCAUCCUCUUUCCCCACACCUUCCAAAUUUUACACAAAAACUCACCAGGCACAUGAGGGACCCAAUACUAAAUACAUACCAUUGUAGGUGCCCUUCCCAGGCCUUUCAUUGACAGUGUUGACCAGCACCAAAGUCCUGAGGCCUGGAAGAGCAGCAGCUUGUUGUUUCAGGAACUGGUGUCUUUUGAGGAUGUGGCCGUGUACUUCACUGCGGAGGAAUGGGCCAGCCUGGGACCUGCUCAGAGGGCCCUGUACAGGGAUGUGAUGCUAGAGAACUACGCGGCUGUGGCCUUGCUAGCAUCACCCAGUUUCAAACCAGCUCUGAUCUCUCAGCUGGAACACGGGAAAGAGCCGUGUUUCAUCGAGCUACAAGGCCAGAGUUGGAAAGCAGACCUUGCAGGAUACAGCGCAAAAUUAAGAAGAUGUGUCCUCUUAGCUAAAAUGAUGUCACAUGCCAUAAAAUUGAAACUUCUUCAGAAUCAUCUCUUCGGGGAAGACAGGACAAAGGCUUAAUUCCUUACGUUUAAAUACCACUUUUCAGAGUAAUGAGUUGAUUUAAGAGCCAUCUUAAAUGAUGCAAGUAUGCAUUUUCUUCUUCUGCUGACACAUGCAUUUCCUAGAUUUAAUGUUUUUCAUUCAUUAAAAUUGUUCAUGUU